GAUGAACGCUGGCGGCGUGCCUAAUACAUGCAAGUCGAACGCUUCACUUCGGUGAAGAGUGGCUAACGGGUGAGUAAUACAUAAGUAACCUGGCAUCUACAGGGGGCUAACUGAUGGAAACGUCAGCUAAGACCGCAUAGGUGUAGAGAUCGCAUGACCUCUAUAUGAAAAGUGCUACGGGACUGGUAGAUGAUGGACUUAUGGCGCAUUAGCUUGUUGGUAGGGUAACGGCCUACCAAGGCGACGAUGCGUAGCCGACCUGAGAGGGUGACCGGCCACACUGGGACUGAGACACGGCCCAGACUCCUACGGGAGGCAGCAGUAGGGAAUUUUCGGCAAUGGGGGAAACCCUGACCGAGCAACGCCGCGUGAAGGAAGAAGUAAUUCGGUAUGUAAACUUCUGUCAUAGAGGAAGAACGGUGGAUAUAGGGAAUGAUAUCCAAGUGACGGUACUCUAUAAGAAAGCCACGGCUAACUACGUG
rnacentral:rRNA from 1 species